GUACGGCCUCCGCCGAAUCCGGAGCCCACGCGGCAGCCGGAGCCGGGGACCCAACCGACUUUGGGGUGAAUCGGUCCAACUCCUCCACGGGGAGGGACCGUAGGGCAACCCUUCCGAACCACCCGCCCGAACCCGACAGCUAACCCGGUAGGCGGCCCAUGGAAGGAGUC
rnacentral:sRNA from 2 species